rnacentral:tRNA from 2 species
GUGCCCGUAGCUCAAUUGGAUAGAGUAUCUGACUUCGAAUCAGAGGGUUGGGGGUUCGAGUCCCUCCGGGCGCGCCA